CUCUUUUGAAUGAGCUCUCAGAUUAACAGUCCGAGUGUAACUUGCCUUUCUCAUCAAUUGCAAUAGCUUUAAGUUUGACUUCAGCCCGCUUUUUUAAUCAGAGCUUUGUUCAUGGGAAUUUCCAAAUGGGAGCGUUUCUACUGAUAAGAAAUAAGAAAGCAAAUUUAGUUCGUUUCCAAAUAUUUUUAAAGGUUGUCUUGAAGCGUGCACAACAUGAGAGUGUAUCUGCUUGUUUUUAUAUUAAUUUUAACUUUAUGGAAGACUUUUGUAGCAGGGGAUUGUUUGACGGAUCCCGUGACAAUGCUGUGCAUUUUGGACCCAGAUCAGGGCAAAUAAGCUUAUACCCAUGUAUAUGAAGAUGGUUCAAUAAAGCAAAAAAGUGGAUCAUGAA